CCUACGAGUGGCAGCAGUGAGGAAUAUUUGUCAAUGGGCGAGAGCCUGAACCAGCCAAGUCGCGUGAGGGAGUACUGCCCUAUUGGUUGUACACCUCUUUUGUCGGGGCGCAAAAGCCGGACGUGUCCGGCUGUGAGAGUACCCGAAGAAAAAGCAUCGGCUAACUCCGUGCCAGCAGCCGCGGUAAUACGGAGGAUGCGAGCGUUAUCCGGAUUUAUGGGGUUUAAAGGGUGCGCAGGCGGAUUUUUAAGUCAGCGGUAAAAUCGUGGGGCUCAACCCCAUCCAGCCGUUGAAACUGGGGAUCUAGAGUGUGCGAGAGGUAUGCGGAAUGCGUGGUGUAGCGGUGAAAUGCAUAGAUAUCACGCAGAACCCAGAUUGCGAAGGAAGCAUACCGGUGCACAACUGACGCUCAGGCACGAAAGCGUGGGUAUCGAACAGGAUUAGAUACCCUAGUAGUC
rnacentral:rRNA from 1 species